GGGUUUUUAUUUUAUACUUUAAACAUUGAUUUUAUUUUUUAUGUUUUUAGAUAUUUAUGUUUUUGAAUGUUUUAUUCAAAUAAUAUAAAAAAUAAAAUAUAUAUUGACAUGGAUUAAACAAAGAUAUAUAUUAUUCUAUGUUGUAUAAACAAAUUGGCAAAAUAGAGAUGGAAGAUAAAAAUAUGGU
rnacentral:sRNA from 1 species